rnacentral:rRNA from 2 species
UGGGGAAUAUUGCACAAUGGGGGAAACCCUGAUGCAGCAACGCCGCGUGAGUGAUGACGGUCUUCGGAUUGUAAAGCUCUGUCUUUGGGGACGAUAAUGACGGUACCCAAGGAGGAAGCCACGGCUAACUACGUGCCAGCAGCCGCGGUAAUACGUAGGUGGCGAGCGUUGUCCGGAUUUACUGGGCGUAAAGGGAGCGUAGGCGGAUUCUUAAGUGGGAUGUGAAAUACCCGGGCUCAACCUGGGUGCUGCAUUCCAAACUGGGAAUCUAGAGUGCAGGAGGGGAGAGUGGAAUUCCUAGUGUAGCGGUGAAAUGCGUAGAGAUUAGGAAGAACACCAGUGGCGAAGGCGACUCUCUGGACUGUAACUGACGCUGAGGCUCGAAAGCGUGGGGAGCGAACA